rnacentral:lncRNA from 1 species
AAAAUUUUAAAGAGUUUAUUUGAGCAAACAGUGAUUCACAAAUCGGGCAACUCUAAACCAGAAGUUGUUUCGGAGCUCUGCUGAGCACAGCUCAGCAGUGGGGAGGCUUUUAUAGGAGGAACAGGAAAGCAAAGAAAAUAUUUAUUUGGUUAUAGUUAUAUCAUUUCCUUCUUUGGUCAUCCUCUUGGAAAGUCCCUAGCUACAUAAUUAUAAAGCUGCUUCUGACUGAUUGAGCUUAAGUUGUGUUAUAUUCAUUUACCGGAAAUAGCUCCAGUUAACUUUUAGAUUAUGUUUGCAAAUCAAGUAAGGUUAACUUAUGAGGCCUAACUGGGUUUCUCUGCACAGAGAUUCUUCAGGCAUGGUCUCCAUUUUAAUUUGCUUUAACAACAUGUAUCAUUCUAUUGGCUUUGCUUCUCUGGAGAAUCCUGACUAAUACACGAGUCUUUUAGAGAUAUUACCGGAUUCUCUUUGAACUCUGUGUAUUAACUUUACAGGGUUUCUGUAACAAACUACCACAAACUGAAGGCUUAAAACAAUAGAAAUUUAUUCUCUUACAGUUCUGAGGCCAGAAGUCCAAAAUCAAUGCAUUAGCAGGGCUGUACUUCUACGGGAGGAUUGAAUAUCUGUCCUUGGCCUUCUCCAGCUUUAGUGGCUGUCAGCAUUCCUUGAUUUAUGAUCACAUUACUCCAUUCUCUGCCUCCACGGUCACAACUACUCCCUCCUCUUCUCCAUGUCUUCUCUUCUGUCAUAUAUGAAUACAUGUCAUUGACUUUACAGUCCACCAGAUAAUCCAGGAUGAUCUCCUCAUCUCAAGGUUCUUAAUUACAUCUGCAAAGACCUUUUUAUCCAAAUAAGGUACCAUCCACGAUUCUAGGAUUAGGAGGAAGGCUUACCUUUUGCAGGGGCCACCAUUCUACCCCUACAUCUUACCUAAGAAUAAAAUUUUUUCUUCUUUCAAGCUUUGCCUCUUGAAGCUCUGAAGAAAUUUAAGACCUGUUCUUUUCUCAUCACCUUAGCUUUGAAGACUUAGGUCUCCAUUUAAGCACUCUUUUGGCAAAUUCAGUCUAUUCUUUUGUUUCAGUUGAUUUUUUUUUUUUUUGGAAUUUCUUCUUCUUUUGGUUAAAUGACACCAAUGGGCAAAAAAGUUACUUAGUAAAAAAAAAAAAAAAAUUCAGGGAUUGAGAUUUCCACUUUUCAACCUGAAGGCCGAUGUUUUCCCAUGUUUAGUGUUCUAUUACGUUUUCCAUAAUUCCUCAAAGAUGAGUACCACUGUUCUCAGAUCUCAUUUGUACUUUUCCCCCCAAAGGCUGUAAUGUAAAAUACUCAGAGCAAAUGUUAUAAUCUAAAUUCAAACUCUUAGGUACUCUCUUAGAAUUUCUUCCCCUAAUUAGGAACAGUAUUGCUUUCUGUCAAUAUCUAUAAUAUGCUUCUGAGUAAUAUUAACAAGUUGCUCACUGGUGUGAGCCUGGCUCAGUGUUUUGAAUGUAUUACUUCUAUUAAUGAGAAAAAUCUGAUGGGAAGGAUAUCGCUAUGUCCAUUUUACAGAUGGGGAAAAGGAUACCCAGAAUAAUAUAACUAGUAAUGUCCCAUUGUCUAUAUGUACACAUGGCUAUUUUAGCACAUUCUGAUUUGUUAGCCUCCACUAAAGUUCGCCAUGUGGAAAAAUAUUUUCUUUCUAAUAAACUAAUCUAUCUGUAUAUCACAUCUUGAGUGUAAUCCCAAACCAGAAGAUAGGAAAUGGGAUGGGGAAUAGGACCUCUUUGAAGCAAAACAUGUCAGAAAGCCUAUGAAAUAAGACCAUAAAGUAGAGGGCCAUGAAUUGGGGUGGGAAAAAUAUUGUAAUUCUUGCUAACUUCGAAGUAAGAUUUAGGAUUUCUUUCCAUUGUGAACAUAUGCAAAAAACCACAGUGUUAUUACAAGUAUUUUGGUGACUUUUUCACUUAUCAAAAUCACAAACAUUUUCCUAUCACAUUACUAUAUUUGUAGAUAUCUCAAGAUACAAGAUUUUAUUAUUUAUUUAAUGCAUUAAUAAAAAGUACAGGUAUAGUAUACAUUUGUUAAAUAUUUUGAUUACCAUAUUUUAGUAUAAUUGAUUUUAUUUAUAAUCCUGUGCAUUAUAUUUGAUGUACAAAAGACAUUACUCUAAAAAGGACUCUAUAGGCUUCACCAGACUGUCAAAGGGAUCUGUGGCAUAAAAAAGGUUAAGAAAAUCUGUUAUGGGCUCUGGCAUGGUAGUUAAGAGCAUGUAGUCUGAUGUCACACUGCUUGGGUUCAAAUUCUGCGCUGUCACAUAUAAUAUGACUUUGGUUAAAUUAUGUAUAGUCUUUGUGUCUUAGAUUCUUCAUGUGUAAAAUGGAGAUAAUAAUGCCUACCUAAAUGUCUUGCUAUGAAUAUGAAGUAAUAUCAGUAACAAGCUUAAUACAAUGCCAGGCAUAUAGUACUGUGUUGUCACUAACACAGUGACUAACACUGACUAAAGUUUUAAAUUAUAUUUUAAAAUACUGACUAGUUUUAAAUUAUAUUUUAAAAAUACAUGUAUAAGGAAGAAUGAUAAAGACCCACAUGCCCUCCAUCCAGUUUAAGGAGAAAAAAGUUACUUUUACUCUAAAAAGGAUGCAUAUAAUUCAUUAUCCAAACAAUGACAAUUUGGGGAGUGACAGUGCUAUUAAUCAUUACACCAGGCAAUCAGCAAACCAGAACUGUGCUAGGUAAACCAGGACUGUUUGGCCAAACCAACACAUAUAAUUAUCAUACUUUUAAGCUCCUUGUUCACCUUUUCCUUACUUCAUUCCCUUCCCUCUGUAGCUAGAGGAAAUCACUGCCUUGAAUUUGUGCUUAUCAUUCUUUUGCUUUAAUUUAUAGAUUUACUUAUGUUUGUACCCUUAGGCUAUUUACUUUCAUUGGUUCUUUAUAUAAAUGGAAUCCUACUGUAAAAUUCUUUUGUGAAUUUUUAUUUGCUCAACAUUUUGUUAGCUGUUACGAAUAUCUACAAGUCAAUUCUAUCUUAAAUCUGCUUCUGGAGUAUCCUGAAUUCUGCUUUUUGUCAUACAGACUUUAGAAUCAGUUUGUCAAGCUCCUUGAAAAACUCAUUUGGGAUUUGUAUUGCAAUUACCUUCAUUGUGUAGUGGAGAACUGCCAUCUUAACUCGAGUCUUUUAAUCAUUGAACAUGGCAAUUUUAAAAUUAGACAUUUUUAAAUGCCUGUCAAUAAAGUUUUGUAAUUUUCUACAGAGGUCUUCUAUACCUUUUGUUAAGUUACCUAAUUUAUAUUUUUAAAGGAAUAUAGUAAAUGGUAUGUUACAAAAAUCAUUUUCUAACAGUUCAUUUCUGCUGGAAAGAAAUGCAAUUCACUUUUGUAUAUUGAUAGUCAUAUUAUCUGUUUUCACAUUGCUAUAAAUACUGGAGACUGAGUAAUUUAUAAAGAAAAGGGGUUUAAUUGGCUCAUGGUUCUGCAAGCUGUACAGGAAGCAUAGUGGCUUCUGCUUCUGAGGCAGCUUCAGGAAGCUCAAAAAAUAUCAAAUGGAUGUAUGUGAGUGGUCCUUGAAAAUGUGCACGAUUCCCAGAUCUUCUUUUAAUUGUCACGCUGUUCGUCCCCUCACAAAAUCAAGUUUAAACU